rnacentral:lncRNA from 1 species
GAGAGAGAGGUUGUCAACAAAUCUAACUUUCCUAACCAAUUUCUUUCUAGAUUAUUCUGCCAUUGCUCUGUCAUCAAUUCCAUAUGAUUAUUUUUCCAGCUGCACAGCAAGUCCACGUGGUUUCCUUCUUGCCAAUAUUUCAGCUGAGCCAUCUUCGACCCUGCUUCCUUCCAGAGUUCCAGCUGAGCUAUCUUCUAAC